CGGGAGGGGAGGGAGCCUGCCCGCCACCCUGGCACCCUCACACCACCUCCGUCUCCCGACUUCCCUCCCCCGCACCACCUCCCGGUCCCCGGCGCCGCGGGCCGAGCCGGCGCGGGACCCCAGCACCCGCGGGACCGCGGAGGUGAGCGCCGCGCAGCCGCCAGGAGGGGGCGCCCAGCACCCCGGAGCCCCUGCCCGAGGGCGGAUUCCGCCCGGACGUCCCGCCCCGGCCCUUGUGGAAGGCUGUCCCGGCCCGAGAGGUGCCCCCUUCUGCCGGAGAGCGGAGCAGAGAGAGUUGAAUGUAAAAAAGAACCCUGAGACCCCCCAGCGAAAAUGUGUGGCGGAAUCCUGCAGAAGGAGUCAACUUUCAGGGUGUUAAAGACUUCCAGUCAUUAGCAUCAGCUGCUGCACUAAAGGGGCAAGCCAGCGCCUCUAAGUGGCUUAGCGCACAAACACUGCACUCCCCACUCCCAUUCCCCAUCCCUUGCCACCUCCCCUGCCCCCACACACAUUUUGCUGUAGUUUCUUAGGGACCACAACUCUCUUAUGGCUACUUCUUUAUCUUAAUUUGCUGUUGUUUACACCUUCUUCCUUCUCUGAAUUCACUUAAGUGAAUUCUAAAACACUGCAAGUUAUUUUUCAGAUGUUUGAGAUAAUUCUUUUGACAUUUCUAAUCCCAUCACCCUUUCUUUAAACAAGUGAUGAGAGAUGCUUGUGUGUGUGUGUGUGUGUGUGUGUGAAUGAGAUGAGGGAAUAAUGAAUGGAGCAUCCAGUUAUAAGCCAAAUGGUGACUUUGGCUUAUAACUUUGAAGAUUUUAUAUAGACACAUAUGAAAACUCUCAGCAUUAAGCCUUGGUCAUUACAUGAGUUGCCCUUAGCCAAACUAUUUUAAAGUGUGGACAAGUAUAAGAGAAAAGAUACGUUCAGAUGGAAGGCAACUGCAGUUUGAGGUUUCUUUGAAAAGUUGAUAACUAACCUGAAAAUUAAGGGCGAAUUCUCCCUUUACUUCCUAGUAUAUGGAGAUUUUGCAACUUUUCUUUCUUCAAGUCAGCUUAGGCAAUGGGCCCUGUCUAAUCAGAAGGAUUCCGAAUUUAUGUGUGGGGGGCGGGGAGCGGGAGAGCAGGGAGCGCGGCUGGCCAGGGCUGGAUGAAAAGAGAGGGGAGGAGCGGGGGUGACAGGAAAACUCAGUGGGAAAUUCCUCGCACUGUUUUUUAAUUUCUCCUCUGCAGAAUUCUUUCCAGGCCUCCUAGUACUGUGGGAGCCAGGGGUAAAGAUGCUCCGUGCCUGGUUGCUUCACUGGGUUCCGGAGGGAGGUCUCAGAGCAUCAAAGCACACACCUUUUCCUUUUAAGCUGCUCUUCGCCAACCCCCAAUCCACUUACUUUGUUUGAACACAGGAUACAAACUAGGCUGUCUCAAGUCCUGGCCACUUUAACUGGCUACUCGUCCGAUUUAUCCUAAAGCUAAUGGAUUGCCCUCUUC
rnacentral:lncRNA from 1 species